GACUUGGGAUCUUCAACAUUAUUACAAGUUCAAAUCAUAUCAUGAUUGCCAUUGUGGAUGGAACAAAAUAACAUGGGGGUCUUUUUGCUUGCACCAAAGGAUCGAUCCGUAAGGUGGGCCCAACCCAGUCCAGGGUAUUUCUAUAAGCAUGGUGUUUUAACGGUUUGAGAAUAAACAUGUUUAGUGAAGGCAUAGUCUGCGGCAUCUCCACAAGGGUUUGUCAAUAUUACGUCUUAUAUUUACAGGUAACUAGUAAGGGUUGAACUAAAUAAGCGCUGGGAACUCCCGCCGGCAAGCAUUGAGGACAACAGUGGAUCAUCCGCAGGCACUCUUAUUUAUUGAUAGCUGGAGUAAUCCGCUGGUGGUGAGAUAGUUGGAGAACGCGAGAUUUUGAGAUAUUUGAAGCUUCGAGAAUAAG
rnacentral:sRNA from 1 species